GUUAGCCGUGGUGGCGACCCUGACUGGAGAUUACGACGACGACUGGGCUUCUGGGGAGGAGCGGUGGAGUUCGUACUACAAGGUGUCUGAGAUGGCGGCUUGGAAUGGGAUAACGACAUUGGUGGCUGGAAAGUUUGGCAGGGGCUAAGAUUGGUUCACCAUAACAGAAGUGGAAACAAAGAUGAGAACCACUGAAUUCCACCAGAUCAGCAUCGGUUGAUCUUCGCCGGGAAGCGGCUUGAAGAUGGGCGAACUCUAGCGGAUUACAACAUCCAGAAGGAAUCAACCCUUCAUCUUGUCCUCAGGCUUCGUGGUGGUAUCAUUGAACCUUCAUUGGCUCUUGCUCGCAAGUACAACCAAGACAAGAUGAUUUGCCGUCCGCUGUGUAAUUCCCCUAGUUGCUCGCUGGUUGAUGGAAAUAUGGACAUGAUUCCUGCCUGUUCAUAUUUGCACGAUCUGGUAUGUUUGGAUGGCUGAUCCUGGUGCGGUUUCAAUGCAAUUGCUGACCCUCUGAUGUUGAUUGGAGCGAUGGAAGGCUAUUGAUUUUUUGAAGGCUGUUACAGGGUCAUUUUGCCAAGAAGGGAAGUAGCAUGGCUGGAAAUCACUGCUCAAGUUUCUAGUCGCCGUCGCUCACCUCCCACCGCGGACUACCGCCACCGGUGCUUCCAGUCUCAUAUCCUCCACCAACCCCUCCAUCACAAUCUUCAAUGGCUUCUCCCCCACCGCCUUUGAAGUUCUACAAUCCACCUUCAUCACGAGGUUCAGCACAGCCUACAGUGAUUGCUGGAAAUCCCAAUUACCUUUAUUAUGCUUCAUGUGCAUCUGAUUUUUCUAUUCAUAACAUACACUUCUUUCUAUUAUUAUUGUUACUUCAACGGGUAUUCUUUUGUUGGUAAUUGUGGUAACAAUAAUUGUGCAGUGUUAUAGAAAAACUGUAUUGUAUUUGGGAAAUUAUUACUCCCUCCAUCUAUUCCUAUA